UACGGCGAGUGAAGCGGCAAAAGCUCAAAUUUGAAACCCUCGGGAUUGUAAUUUGAAGAUUUGGCAUUGGAGAAAGCUAACCCAAGUUGCUUGGAAUAGUACGUCAUAGAGGGUGACAACCCCGUCUGGCUAACCGUUCUCCAUGUAUUGCCUUAUCAAAGAGUCGAGUUGUUUGGGAAUGCAGCUCAAAGUGGGUGGUAAACUCCAUCUAAAGCUAAAUACUGGUGAGAGACCGAUAGCGAACAAGUACUGUGAAGGAAAGGUGAAAAGAACUUUGAAAAGAGAGUGAAAUAGUAUGUGAAAUUGUUGAUAGGGAAGGAAAUGAGUGGAGAGUGGCCGAGGUUUCAGCCGCCCCUCGUGGGCGGUGUACUGCCGACGCCGAGUCAUCGAUAGCGAGACGAGGGUUACAAAUGGGAGCGCCUUCGGGCGUUCUCCCCUAACCCUCCACACUGCCACCGACGACAUAAUCCACCCAUUUCACCCGUCUUGAAACACGGACCA
rnacentral:rRNA from 1 species